GAAAGAUUUCAUCCCUACAGCAGAGGACAAGGGCCUCACUUGAUCAUGCCUGCCAGUCAAGGUCGCAACCCACGGAGGGGGGACGCGCUGUUAUUCGGCAUUGACUGCGCAAACCGCCACGCAGGAAGGCACCCUCUAUGGACGGGGAUGACCAUGAUGUAGGGGAGGAUGAGGACCGGUACAUUGAGCUCGACCACGACGGGGCACCGCACAAGGGCAUGAUGUAGUGCCCAGGAUGUCUUUGAAUGGCUCCUAGGAUGGGAUUGAACCUAGUUGAGGUCCUUGGGAAAUCAGGCCCUCCUGUUUCCAAGAUCAUAGGCUUUCACAAAGACAAGUAUACCAAGGAUGCCAUGGAGAAAGAUCGUCUAAAAUAACAAGAUCAUAAUGUUGUACCGAGGGCAUAAAGUUGUAUCCAGGAUGGGCUUGCACCUGGUUGAGGUCCAUCGGAAAUAGGACCAUCCUACUUGCAAGAUCAUGGACUUCCACAAAGACAAGUAUAACAAGGAUGUCAAGGAGAAAGAGCAUGUAAAAACCAAGGUAUGUGUGUUGUGCCAUCACUACUGGCGCUGAGUUGAGAUGCUUAGAGCACAACAAAUAUAUUCCAUGUGUUGGCUAUUAUAUUUGUAAAGAAUUUUGUUUUUCUCAAGGGAAGGGAGGAGUAAAUGAGAUGGUGGGAUUGACUCUAACCUGUCAAUCUGCUGGUUUUGAUGUCUGUAGUAUGUGUUGUUCAGUUGCAACAUAAGACAUGGUUGUGCAUGUUUUGAUCCUUGUUGUGGAAUCGAAACAACUCCUUGUAUAGUUUCUUUGAUUAUUACUGCCAGUAUUCUGCCUGUGAGCCAUGGUGUUGAUUUCAAGUGGAAGAACCGCUGUCCGUUGUUUUCAGGGUCCAAGAAGUAUGUUUUCUUGUUUUGAUAGGUAGAGCCAUGUACUGCUCACGGUGCAGCUCACCAUGACAUGACGAAAUUGGUUGACUUUGACUAGUACCCCCUCUGUAAAGAAAUACAACCUAGCAUUUAACCUAGGAUAGCUCUAAAAUGACCUAUACUUAGCAUUUUUCCUCCAAAAUGACUUAAUAUGCUUAGCUAGCUUAAA